UUCCAUCUACAUUUAAAAAUAAAAUUUGCCAAAGAACACGCUGAACACACGCUGAAACACAAGCAAGAAAACCUCUUUCUCUCAAAUUUCCUCCCACCAAUUCCUUGCCAUUUCAAACGAUCUCAACCUCUAUCCCACACAAAAUCGGCCACUGAAUCCAUUUUUGGCAUCAAUUUUAUCAAUCGUUGCUCCGUUUUUUCAGAAACAGCUCCGCAAUAUUCCGUGGGCGAGCUGUUUUUGGCCGAUUCCGGUCACCAUGUUUGUCGUCUCGAAAAACUGACAUCGUUUUUGAAUUCAUCUCGUCGAAACCUUCAAGAAACACUACUCAUUUGCAUUUUCGGUGAAGUUGACGUCGGACCCUUCCGGUACUCCGACGAUCUCGUGUCGAUCUUUGGAUUCGUGCUUUACGUUGUCAAUCUGCAGUUGCCGUUGAAAACUCUCAUUGACUUCUGGGUUUGAUAAAGCGUCGAAAUAAGUUAUUACAGGUUAAUGAGUCUCGAAGUUCAUGUUUGGGAGAAACUCCGCUCUGAUAGGUGAUACCGGGAAUUAAGAGUU